rnacentral:misc_RNA from 1 species
AACAUCGCGCACCUGCGGGAACCUGCGGAAGGAUCAUUAAUGAUUGGUGGCUGUUGCUGACUGGUGUUUCUAGUAUGUGCACGCCACACCUUCAAUCCCACUUACACCUGUGCACCUUCUGUAAUAGAUCUAUGUGGAUACGGAGAUAUGAAAGUUUGCGCUCUCGUACUCUGUUGAAGCAGUCUACUACGUUUUUUUACACACACACAAUAGUCAUUGAAUGUAUUUUUUAUUCUUAUG